UACAGAGGGGGCAAGCGUUGUUCGGAAUUACUGGGCGUAAAGGGCGCGUAGGCGGCCUGCUAAGUCGAACGUGAAAUCCCUGGGCUCAACCCAGGAACUGCGUCCGAUACUGGUUGGCUUGAAUCCGGGAGAGGGAUGUGGAAUUCCAGGUGUAGCGGUGAAAUGCGUAGAUAUCUGGAGGAACACCGAUGGCGAAGGCAGCCUCCUGGGCUAGUACUGACGCUCAUGCACGAAAGCGUGGGGAGCAAACAGG
rnacentral:rRNA from 1 species